UAGGGAAUAUUGGACAAUGGGCGAAAGCCUGAUCCAGCCAUGCCGCGUGAAUGAUGAAGGCCUUAGGGUUGUAAAGUUCUUUAGCAGGGGAAGAUAAUGACGGUACCCUGAAAAUAAGCCCCGGCUAACUCCGUGCCAGCAGCCGCGGUAAGACGGAGGGGGCAAGCGUUGUUCGGAAUCACUGGGCGUAAAGGGCGCGUAGGCGGCCAUGCAAGUCAGAUGUGAAAUCCCGGGGCUUAACCUCGGAACUGCAUUUGAAACUGCACGGCUAGAGUAUCGGAGAGGAUGGUGGAAUUUCUAGUGUAGCGGUGAAAUGCGUAGAUAUUAGAAGGAACACCGAUGGCGAAGGCAGCCAUCUGGACGAUUACUGACGCUAAGGCGCGAAAGCGUGGGGAGCAAA
rnacentral:rRNA from 1 species